CCUACGGGUGGCAGCAGUAGGGAAUAUUGCUCAAUGGGGGAAACCCUGAAGCAGCAACGCCGCGUGGAGGAUGAAGGUUUUCGGAUUGUAAACUCCUUUUGUUAGAGAAGAUAAUGACGGUAUCUAACGAAUAAGCCCCGGCUAACUCCGUGCCAGCAGCCGCGGUAAUACGGAGGGUGCCAGCGUUACUCGGAAUCACUGGGCGUAAAGAGCGAGUAGGCGGGAUAGCAGGUCAGAUGUGAAAUCCUUUGGCUUAACCAUAGAACUGCAUUUGAAACUGUUAUUCUAGAGUAUGGGAGAGGUAGGUGGAAUUCUUGGUGUAGGGGUAAAAUCCGUAGAGAUCAAGAGGAAUACUCAUUGCGAAGGCGACCUACUAGAACAUAACUGACGCUGAUGCGCGAAAGCGUGGGGAGCAAACAGGAUUAGAUACCCGAGUAGUC
rnacentral:rRNA from 1 species